rnacentral:rRNA from 1 species
GACGAACGCUGGCGGCGUGCUUAACACAUGCAAGUCGAACGGAAAGGCCCUUUCGGGGGUACUCGAGUGGCGAACGGGUGAGUAACACGUGGGUGAUCUGCCCUGCACUUCGGGAUAAGCUUGGGAAACUGGGUCUAAUACCGGAUAGGACUACGCACUGCAUGGUGUGUGGUGGAAAGCUUUUGCGGUGUGGGAUGGGCCCGCGGCCUAUCAGCUUGUUGGUGGGGUGAUGGCCUACCAAGGCGACGACGGGUAGCCGGCCUGAGAGGGUGUCCGGCCACACUGGGACUGAGAUACGGCCCAGACUCCUACGGGAGGCAGCAGUGGGGAAUAUUGCACAAUGGGCGCAAGCCUGAUGCAGCGACGCCGCGUGGGGGAUGACGGCCUUCGGGUUGUAAACCUCUUUCACCAUCGGCGAAGCCCAUGAUUUUUGUUGUGGGUGACGGUAGGUGGAGAAGAAGCACCGGCCAACUACGUGCCAGCCGCCGCCGUAACAC